rnacentral:lncRNA from 1 species
CAGACCCUAUCACACCCAGACCUCACAACUCACCUCUGAGAACUUACCCGUGUCUCCGUGCCUCCUGUUCAGAGGCCCUCGACCCCCAUAUCCUGGCCUCCCCCUCAGCCUUGCAGGGAACAUGGGACACUUUCCCUCUCCCAGCAGCACACCAUCCUGCCUGGGUUUCCAUGGCAACCUCCUCGGCAUUGCAGUGUGGUCCCUCUAGACACCCUCUCCUCCUGGCGGGGGGCGGAUGGGGGAGAUGGCCUGAGGGUUUGCAGGGACUGGUUGUGGUGGGGAAGGCAGUCUGUGCCAAGGAAGCACACCCAGCCAGCGUGGGCAGCACACAGCGGCGGCUCCUCUCCUAGUUGUGCAGACCUUUGUCUCCCCGAAGCCAGGCUGGCACGUGCAUGCACAGACACACACACACACACACACGUGCACACACACAUGCAGGAAGAGACAUGGGGCACAGAAUUCCAAAUGUGU